rnacentral:rRNA from 1 species
AGCAGUAGCCGCGGGAAUACGAAGGGGGCUAGCGUUGUUCGGAAUUACUGGGCGUAAAGCGCACGUAGGCGGAUAUUUAAGUCAGGGGUGAAAUCCCAGAGCUCAACUCUGGAACUGCCUUUGAUACUGGGUAUCUUGAGUAUGGAAGAGGUGAGUGGAAUUCCGAGUGUAGAGGUGAAAUUCGUAGAUAUUCGGAGGAACACCAGUGGCGAAGGCGGCUCACUGGUCCAUUACUGACGCUGAGGUGCGAAAGCGUGGGGAGCAAACAGGAUUAGAUACCCGCGUAGUCCCUGUCUCUUAUAC